rnacentral:rRNA from 1 species
GAUCAUGGCUCAGGAUGAACGCUAGCUACAGGCUUAACACAUGCAAGUCGAAGGGGAAACGACAUCGAAAGCUUGCUUUUGAUGGGCGUCGACCGGCGCGACGGGUGAGUAACGCGUAUCCAACCUGCCCACCACUUGGGGAUAACCUUGCGAAAGUAAGACUAAUACCCAAUGAUAUCCCACGAAGGCAUCCGAAUGGGAUUAAAAGAUUUAUCGGUGAUGGAUGGGGAUGCGUCUGAUUAGCUUGUUGGCGGGGUAACGGCCCACCAAGGCUACGAUCAGUAGGGGUUCUGAGAGGAAGGUCCCCCACAUUGGAACUGAGACACGGUCCAAACUCCUACGGGAGGCAGCAGUGAGGAAUAUUGGUCAAUGGGCGAGAGCCUGAACCAGCCAAGUAGCGUGCAGGACGACGGCCCUAUGGGUUGUAAACUGCUUUUAUAAGGGAAUAAAGUGAGUCUCGUGAGACUUUUUGCAUGUACCUUAUGAAUAAGGACCGGCUAAUUCCGUG